rnacentral:rRNA from 1 species
ACUUUAUACAGAGAGAAGAAGCUAAUAAUCAAUAAACUAGAACUAUUCUUAAGUAUUGGACUGGGGCGGUUGAAAUAUAAUCAGUAACUGUUUUUUAAAAAAUAUACUAAUAAGUAGCCGCUGAACCUUUAAAAUAAAGAUUAAAAGAUUAAGUU